CACACACUAUUUAAAUGCACUGUGUCGCGGACGAUGCGGCCGCGCGUACUUUCAAUACGAAAGAGGGAGAAAACGAUACAUGCGUCUACCUUGCUGCGUUUUCUUACCGGAUGAUUCGAUGAUGGUUGAGCGCUCUUUCGAUGAACAGGUAAUUACAUGACGGUUUCCUUGAUUUCUUGUAACUCUGGUGAUUAGUAUGACGAGGAAAGCAGAAAUACUAGUACAGCGAUAAAAACCGGAACGACUUCCAUGAUCACGAUCCAUGCUUAAUACAUGACAAAGUUCAUCGAUGAAAAGAGAGGACAGCGAGGAAAACAUGGAUAUUACCUGAACGAGGCGCUCUUCCUCUAAAAACAGGAAUUCUUUAACGACGAAAAUAGAGCCAAACGAUAACCAGUGAACAGAACCCCGCAGAAAACAAGAACACCUAUUUAACGAUAGACUCGAGUAAGUCUUGAAUUCUUCUUACUUGGUGCAACAGAAAUUUCCGAAUUAAACGGCAAAGAGAAAAGAAGAGCAAAGACAAAAAUGGAUGUAACCAAUUAAAGGCUAACUUAAAAUUUUUAAUUUUAACUUUAAAUUGUAGAAUCUAGGUAUAUG